rnacentral:tRNA from 1 species
GCGCCUAUAAUUCAAAGGUAGAAGUCAGGUCUCUAAAACCUGUAUGUGCUGUCUCGAAAGCAGCUGGGCGUGCCA